rnacentral:rRNA from 1 species
AUGCAAGAAUCGCUUGCUAGGUUGAGAUCAACUCUAUGGAGUACAUUAUCCUGUCAGGGCCGGGAUAUAGGCGCCCGAGGAAAAAUGGAAAGACCGGUGAUUGGUUGGCUGAAGCUUGAUGUAGAUGCCUCUUACAUUGCUGAAACAGGGGUGGCGAGCUCAGAGGCAGUGGCCCGAAUAGUUGGGGAUCGAUUGUGUUCUCUGCGGGUCGCUUGGUGGCUAACUGCUUGGAUGCGGAUGAAUCAGAAAUUCAUGCAUGUAAUAAGUAUUGAAUCCCAAUUGAUGACAUAUAUAUAUACAGUUGGUGUUUCCCCCUAA